UGCCACUUCAAACCAAGGUGUCCCAGGACCUAGUGGCUCUGAGUCUCCUCAGGCUCAAGGCAUGCAAUGCUGAUUUAUCUUCCAUUAAGAGAGCCACCCAUGAUGAACACUAAAUGAUUAAGCAAUUCCUGUACUCUACUGGCCUAUAAAUAAUUCUAAAUUGAGAUGCCAUGCAGCCACCUUAUUUGGAACCCUACCUGGAAAUCCAAGAGGGAGAAGAGAGCACCAAUACCUGUGUUCACGCAGAAGAUGCAAAGUGUUCGUGGAGAUUUUCAAAGAAAGCACAAGGAAGGACUUCAUGGGGAAGGAGCAAGUGGCAUUUGAGAAAGCGGAGAAGAGCACGCGAGGUUCUCACAGGCAGAAAAGGUGGCACGGACGUGUGUGUCAGUUUCUCUGUAGUUCAGGAAGGGUGAGAGGAAAGCCAGCAACCUUCAAUUGCUGUAGUGCGAAGUAUCGAGGGGCCUUUGGACCAGAGUCCUUGACUUCCUUCGGCAGCCUGGAUCUGAGAGAUCGCUUGGUAGUCCAGCUGGGAAUGGUGACUGCUUAAGCUCUCCUCCAAGAAGCUGCUGGCUCUUAAUUCGAACUGAAAGUCAUUCUGCUGCUGUCUGGAGUCCACACGGAUGGGCUUUUCACAAUAUCUUCCACCUGUGGGUCAUCAGACUGGCUCUCAUCUCACAUGAUGGGUUCUUGGAAAAUGGUCCUUUCCAGAGUGGCAGAUGGCCCUUUUAUCAGGACUAGUCCUUUAGCUGCUGGAAUUUUUUUUUUUUAAGUUUAUUUUUAUUGAAAGCUAAAUGAAUCCAUCUGGGGUAGCACUGUUAGUACUUUCUGUGAUGAUGGAAAUGUUUUAUAAUUCCCUCUGUCCAG